rnacentral:rRNA from 1 species
UAUUUUGACAGAGACUUCGGUUGAAGUCGUUAUAAUCCUAGUGGCGGACGGGUGAGUAACGCGUGGGUAACCUGCCUCACACUGGGGGAUAACAGUCAGAAAUGACUGCUAAUACCGCAUAAGCGCACGGAGCCGCAUGGCUCAGUGUGAAAAACUCCGGUGGUGUGAGAUGGACCCGCGUUGGAUUAGCCAGUUGGCAGGGUAACGGCCUACCAAAGCGACGAUCCAUAGCCGGCCUGAGAGGGUGGACGGCCACAUUGGGACUGAGACACGGCCCAGACUCCUACGGGAGGCAGCAGUGGGGAAUAUUGCACAAUGGGGGAAACCCUGAUGCAGCGACGCCGCGUGAAGGAAGAAGUAUUUCGGUAUGUAAACUUCUAUCAGCAGGGAAGAAAAUGACGGUACCUGACUAAGAAGCCCCGGCUAACUACGUGCCAGCAGCCGCGGUAAUACGUAGGGGGCAAGCGUUAUCCGGAUUUACUGGGUGUAAAGGGAGCGUAGACGGAGCAGCAAGUCUGAUGUGAAAGGCGGGGGCUCAACCCCCGGACUGCAUUGGAAACUGUUGAUCUUGAGUACCGGAGAGGUAAGCGGAAUUCCUAGUGUAGCGGUGAAAUGCGUAGAUAUUAGGAGGAACACCAGUGGCGAAGGCGGCU